AGAGUUUGAUCCUGGCUCAGAACGAACGUUAGCGGCGCGCUUAACACAUGCAAGUCGUGCGAGAAAGGGGCAACCCCGGUACAGCGGCGCACGGGUGAGUAACACGUAGGUAAUCUGCCCCCAGGUGGUGGAUAACCUUCCGAAAGGAGGGCUAAUACAGCAUGAGACCACGCCCCGCGAGGGAGCGAGGUCAAAGCCGG
rnacentral:rRNA from 1 species